AUCAAUAUCAAACGAAAGAAUACGUGAAAAUUCAAGAGAAAACCCCAGCCAGAGGACACGUCACACCUCUACACCUCGUGUGGGUUUUGAGACUCUUGAGACUCAGAUCGAUUUAUCACUGCUUCCGUCUCUGUGGCUCUCACUGUGAGAGAGAGAGAGAGGCCAUCUAACUGUUAAGAGAGAAAUGGGAGAGGCCCGAGGAGGGUGUUGCCCGCCGAUGUAUAUGUUCAGGUCGGAGCCGAUGCAGCUGGUCCAGCUCAUUGUGCCCAUCGAGUCCGCUCACGUCACCGCCUCCUACGUCGGCGACGUUGGCCUCCUCCAAUUCAAAGACCUGAAUGCGGAGAAGAGUCCAUUUCAGCGGACUUAUGCUGCUCAGAUUAAAAAAUGUGGGGAGAUGGCACGUAAAUUACGCUUUUUCAAGGAACAAAUGCUGAAGGCAGGCUUUUGCUCAAAAAAGUCUACAGCACAAGUUGAUAUCAAUUUGGAUGAUUUAGAGGUAAAACUAGGUGAACUUGAGGCAGAGCUGGUGGAAAUAAAUGCAAAUGGUGAGAAGUUGCAACGCGCUUAUAAUGAAUUAGUGGAAUAUAAGCUUGUUUUGGAGAAGGCUGGCGAGUUUUUUCACACAGCUCUCAGCAGUGCCACAGAACAACAGAUGGAGUAUGAAUCCAGCCAGACUCAUGAAGAAUCCUUGGAUACACCUUUAUUAUUGGAUCAAGAAAUGUCAACUGAUUCAUCCAAGCAAGUUAAGUUGGGCUUCAUCACAGGCCUUGUUCCUAGGGAAAAGUCUAUGGCAUUUGAGAAGAUUAUUUUUCGUGCUACUAGGGGUAAUGUGUUUAUAAGGCAAGUUGUAGUUGAGGACCCUGUGACAGAUCCUGUUACGGGAGAGAAGAUUGAGAAGAAUGUAUUUGUGGUUUUCUACUCCGGAGAAAGAGCAAAGAACAAGAUUCUUAAAAUAUGUGAAGCUUUUGGAGCAAAUCGUUAUCCUUUUAGUGAGGACUUGGGUAAACAAGCUCAAAUGAUCACCGAGGUUUCAGGAAGACUCUCAGAGCUGAAGGCUACUAUAGAUAUUGGGCUGCUGCAACGAAACAAUUUGUUGCAAACUAUUGGAGAUCAUUUUGAGCAGUGGGACAUCUUGGUGAGAAAGGAGAAAUCUAUAUAUCACACCCUGAAUAUGCUUAGUCUUGAUGUGACAAAAAAGUGUCUUGUUGGUGAGGGUUGGAGUCCUGUUUUUGCAACAAAACAGAUCCAGGAUGCAUUGCAGAGGGCAGCGUUUGACUCUAACUCCCAAGUUGGAGCAAUUUUCCAGGUUUUGCAAACCAAGGAGUUACCGCCUACCUAUUUUCGGACAAACAAGUUUACUUCUCCUUUCCAAGAAAUUGUUGAUGCAUACGGGGUGGCUAAAUAUCAAGAAGCAAAUCCUACUGUAUACACCAUCGUAACAUUUCCAUUUCUUUUUGCUGUCAUGUUUGGUGAUUGGGGGCAUGGACUAUGCCUGUUAUUCGCAACAUUAUUUCUAAUAGCCAGGGAGAGGAGAUAUUCAAGUCAGAAGCUUGGAGACAUUAUGGAAAUGAUGUUCGGUGGUCGUUACUGUAUUUUGAUGAUGGCACUCUUCUCAAUCUACACAGGCUUGAUCUAUAAUGAAUUCUUCUCUGUCCCAUUUGAGCUUUUUGGCCCUUCAGCCUAUGCUUGCCGUGACCUUUCCUGCAUAGAUGCCACUACGGUGGGCUUGAUUAAGGUGCUCCCCACUUACCCAUUUGGUGUAGAUCCUGCAUGGCAUGGUACCCGUAGUGAGCUACCAUUCCUGAACUCUUUGAAGAUGAAGAUGUCAAUCCUUCUUGGGGUAGCUCAGAUGAACCUGGGAAUCAUAUUAAGCUAUUGUAAUGCCAAAUUCUUUCGGAAUAGACUGAAUGUCUGGUUCCAAUUCGUUCCCCAGAUGAUUUUUUUAAACAGUUUGUUUGGCUACUUGUCCAUUCUCAUCCUUGCGAAGUGGUGCACUGGUUCACAAGCUGAUCUAUACCACGUAAUGAUAUACAUGUUCCUCAGUCCCACCGAUGAUCUGGGCGAAAAUCAGCUUUUUGCUGGCCAGAAGACACUGCAGCUUGUAUUACUAUUACUGGCCCUUGUUGCUGUACCCUGGAUGCUACUCCCAAAGCCUUUUCUUUUGAAGAAGCAACACCAAGAUCGGCUCCGAGGCCACUCAUACACACCACUCCAGGACACAGAGGAUGACACCUUUCGGUUGGAGUCGAACCAUGACUCACAUGGUCAUGAGGAGUUUGAGUUUAGUGAAGUUUUUGUACACCAACUCAUACAUACUAUAGAAUUUGUGCUUGGAUCAGUUUCGAAUACAGCUUCUUACCUUCGUCUAUGGGCCCUAAGCGACAUGCCAUCUCAUCUUCCACAGCAUGGUGAUCCACCUGGCUAAAGUUGUUUCAAAAGAAAUGUGAACCUUUUGAGAGGUCAUACCUAUUGACACAUCAAUUCAUGAAACUUUUUCAUUGAUCUAUUGGAGUCAAGUUUGACUUCUUCCCGUAUAUAGGAUGACAUAUUGGGAGCCUGUACCAAAAACCAAAACUAGCCUGAUCUCAGUUAGACGGAGAUCUUCUGCCUCAUGAAUAUUUGGUCAUGUGAUCCUAUACAGCUAGGCUGCUACCUUCCCAUUGCAUCCUUCCUUGUGUGUUGUCAAUCGUGAAUGAAGGGGAUCUUGAUGUUCCAUUGACACAAAUGGGGAUCCAAUAUGGAGGUGAGACAAACCUGUCAAGGCAGAGCUAUUCGUUUAAGCAACCAUGUGAGCCACCUCCAGGCCAUUUUGAAGGAAUAUGUUGGUCAAAUUUGACAGGAAUUCUUGGUCAAGUAUGGUUUGAAGAAAUAGAACAUUGUACCUCGGACUACGCAUUUGACUAAUUUUACACUAAAAGUUUUGCAGAGGGACAUGUAAAUAAAACAAUUGUUAAAUGAUGAGGCUCAAUGUGCAUAUCCUGGAGUGUGGCAUAUCUCCUUGUAUCUCGAAGAGUGCAUCACAACUCCGAAGAGGGCCUGGCCUACCUUCCUUGUAUUCUCAAAUUAUCCUUGGCCUAAAAAGGGGGGCCUGCCUGGAUAGCUUUUUCCAUAGAUCUAUGUGGAAGUGAUCAAGUUUAUAUUCAGAAAGGUUUUAAACCAGUCUUGCGCACUCGGAGUUGUCAAGUGUAUUCUAUGAUAAACUUCUCCUACUUGCUUGGGGGUACAACAAUAUAAUAAUCCUU